GACGGACGCUGGCGGCGUGCUUAACACAUGCAAGUCGAACGGAAAGGCCCCUUUGGGGGUCCUCGAGUGGCGAACGGGUGAGUAACACGUGAGUAACCUGCCCUUGACUUCGGGAUAACUUCAGGAAACUGGGGCUAAUACCGGAUAGGAAUCCUUGCUGCAUGGUGGGGGUUGGAAAGCUUCGGCGGUUUUGGAUGGACUCGCGGCUUAUCAGCUUGUUGGUGGGGUAGUGGCUUACCAAGGCUUUGACGGGUAGCCGGCCUGAGAGGGCGACCGGCCACAUUGGGACUGAGAUACGGCCCAGACUCCUACGGGAGGCAGCAGUGGGGAAUAUUGCACAAUGGGCGGAAGCCUGAUGCAGCAACGCCGCGUGCGGGAUGACGGCCUUCGGGUUGUAAACCGCUUUCAGCAGGGGCGAAGCUUGUGGUGACGGUACCUGCAGAAGAAGCACCGGCUAACUACGUG
rnacentral:rRNA from 1 species